rnacentral:lncRNA from 1 species
GUGUGUAGCUAUUUGCGGUGCUUUUAAUUUUAAGGUCACUAUGAAGGUGCCUGCAGGUUUUGCACCUGGGGCGAGAAUGUGCUUUUAUUACGGGGCAGUGAUGUUGGCUGACUUUUGCAUGCACUAACAUGUCUUUAAAUAAAGUUCUUCUUU